GUUUAUUAGAGAAUUUUAAACGUUACACAAAUAGGAAAUACAAACACAGGAUCCCUGAUUCAUUUAUUAAACUCCUGUAAGAGGAAUCACACAUAUCUGCUCACCGUAUAGUAUGAGAGCUGCCUGCAAAGGUAACACUGUCAGCUCAGAAGCCAAACUAGGAUCCUUGACAGGGAUCUUCUCUCUGUACUGGAAGGGACCCUAGUCAGGCACUUCACACUGUGUGGGUCCAGUGCGCACUGUGACAGUCUCUAUUCUAAACAGUGCUUGCUGUGACUGUCUAGUCUAAGCAUUGCUCGCUAUGACGGUCUCUAGUUUGAGCAGUGCACGCUGUGACGGUCUCUAGUCUGAGCAGUGCACACUGUGACGGUCUCUAGUCUGAGCAGGUCACGUUGUGACAGUCUCUAGUCUGAGCAGUGCACACUGUGACGGUUUCCAGUCUAAGCCGUGCAUGCUGUGACGGUCUCGAGUCUGAGCAGGUCACGCUGUGACGGUCUCUGGUCUGAGCAGGUCACGCUGUGACGGUCUCUGGUCUGAGCAGUGCACGCUGUGAAGGUCUCUGGUCUGAGCAGUGCACGCUGUGAACGUCUCUGGUCUGAGCAGUGCAUGCUGUGACAGUAUCGAGUCUGAGCAGGUCACGCUGUGACGGUCUCUGGUCUGAGCAGGUCACGCUGUGACGGUCUCUGGUCUGAGCAGUGCACGCUGUGAAGGUCUCUGGUCUGAGCAGUGCACGCUGUGAAGGUCUCUGGUCUGAGCAGUGCAUGCUGUGACAGUAUCGAGUCUGAGCAGGUCACACUGUGACGGUCUCUGGUCUGAGCAGGUCACACUGUGAUGGUCUCUAGUCUGAGCAGGUCACGCUGUGACGGUCUCUAGUCUGAGCAGGUCACACUGUGACAGUCUCUAUUCUGAGGUCACGCUGUGACGGUCUCUAGUCUGAGCAGGUCACACUGUGACGUCUCUAUUCUGAGCAGGUCACACUGUGACGGUCUCUAUUCUGAGCAGGUCACGCUGUGAAGGUCUUUAGUCUGAGCUGUGACUGUCUCUAGUCUGAGCAGGUCACACUGUGACGGUCUCUAUUCUAAACAGUGCUUGCUGUGACUGUCUAGUCUAAGCAUUGCUCGCUAUGACGGUCUCUAGUUUGAGCAGUGCACGCUGUGACGGUCUCUAGUCUGAGCAGUGCACACUGUGACGGUCUCUAGUCUGAGCAGGUCACGUUGUGACAGUCUCUAGUCUGAGCAGUGCACGCUGUGACGGUUUCCAGUCUAAGCCGUGCAUGCUGUGACGGUCUCGAGUCUGAGCAGGUCACGCUGUGACGGUCUCUGGUCUGAGCAGGUCACGCUGUGACGGUCUCUGGUCUGAGCAGUGCACACUGUGAAGGUCUCUGGUCUGAGCAGUGCACGCUGUGAACGUCUCUGGUCUGAGCAGUGCAUGCUGUGACUAUCGAGUCUGAGCAGGUCACGACGGUCUCUGGUCUGAGCAGGUCACGCUGUGACUAGUCUGAGCAGUGCACGCUGUGAAGGUCUCUGGUCUUCCAGUCGAGUCUGAGCAGGUCACACUGUGACACGCUGUGACGGUUUCCGGUCUGUGACAGUCUCUAGUGCACGCUGUGACGGUCUCUGAGCAGGUCACACUGUGACGGUCUCUAGUGACACGCUGUGAUGGUCUCUAGUCUGUGAGCAGGUGACGCUGUGACAGUCUCUAUU
rnacentral:lncRNA from 1 species